rnacentral:ncRNA from 1 species
GGAUCGGCGGAUGUUGCUUAUAGGACUCCGUCGGCACCUUAUGAGAAAUCAAAGUCUUUGGGUUCCGGGGGGAGUAUGGUCGCAAUGCAGAAACUUAAAGGAAUUGACGGAAGGGCACCACCAGGCGUGGAGCCUGCGGCUUAAUUUGACUCAACACGGGGAAACUUACCAGGUCCAGACAUAGCAAGGAUUGACAGACUGAGAGCUCUUUCUUGAUUCUAUGGGUGGUGG